UCCCCCUGUUUUUGGCAAUGGUAGAACUCACACUGGUGAGGUAAUGGGAUCCGGUGGUUCUAGACUUGCCAACUACGGGGCGAGG
rnacentral:pre_miRNA from 8 species